UCCUUAUAUUUUGCCUCCUAAAGCAACAGACUGCAGAUCUCUGACCUUACUUAUAAGAGAGAUUCUGUCUGGCUCUGUGUUCCUUCCUUCUUUGGAUUUCCUAGCUGAUCCAGAUACUGUGAAUCAUUUGCUUAUCAUCUUCAUAGAUGACAGUCCAGUGAGUAUUGAAUAUAUUAGAAAACACUUCAGAUUGCAUUGAAUUUUGAUUUUGUAUGUCAAAUCAAGUGGGAAUUUUACUGAGUUAAUAAUUCUCUUUCUUUC
rnacentral:lncRNA from 1 species